rnacentral:antisense_RNA from 1 species
CUUGACGGAACCGAGCCAGAGCGGCCGGCCCUCCCGACCCUGCCCGUACGCGGCCAGCAGUGCCUGCGCCUC